CCAUGCUCUAGACUAGUAUAAACUGGUAGACUAAAACAGGCAUACACUGUUCCCAUCUAUCUGCAAGUAGAUAUAUAAUGUAAGUUGGCCUCUAAAAUAUACUCCUGAGUUCUCACAGGUCAAACACUUACACACACCUGAAAGAAAUCCUCAGGUAAAUCAUGGAGUUGCACCCAUACUCAGGUGCAGGCCUCUCCUGGAAAGUCCCUGUGAUAAGGAGCCUGAAGCUCAUAAACUGGAACAAGGAGAGAAAUGCCAUACCUAGCUGCAUAGCUAAACUGACCCAGCCCUCAAGCUGCAAGAUUCCAGUCUCAAGUGAAUUCCAAGAGACUGUAGAGACCAGAUGCCAACACUAGAAGAGGAAGAUUCAAAAAGGAAAAAAAAAUACCAAAAAACGCACGUUCAAGAAAACUUCUACAGCAAUCUGAAAAUGAUCCUCAUGAAGCUGUUACUUCCCAUUUAUAGAGGCACACACCUAGUGCUCCUCUCGGAUCCUGCAAGUAAACAGAGUCGCAGCUGAUCCACAAAGAAUAGGAAAACUGGAACAGAAAAAGUCACCUUCUCCUUUGGGAGCCUUGCAGACAAUCUGUGACGUCAACACAUCCCACCUGAUUCAUCAAGGUCUGGAAAGGAGCCUUGCUAUCCAACUUAGUAACAGCUCUGGACUUGCCCCUGACACAUGCGCAUCACAGUGGGCUUCCCAAGCACAGCUGGCAGCAAGAAGGCAACAACACAAAGGCGGGCAUGCAUCUUUUGUUUAUUGAUUCAAAGACACAUCUCUGAUGGGUGCUACAAAACUCAGUUAAAUGACUAUUGAGAUGGGAGGCUAAAGGGAUAACUA